CUCAGGCUGGUUGACGGCUCUGGCAGCUUCUGGCUGACUGAUGGCUCUGGCAGAUCCUGGCUGAAUGGCGGCUCUGGCAGAUCCUGGCUGAAUGGCGGCUCUGGCGGAUCCUGGCUGACUGGCGGCUCCUGGCUGACUGGCGGCUCCUGGCUGACUGGCGGCUCCUUGCAGACUGGCGGCUCUGGCGGCUCCUUGCAGACUGGCGGCUCCUUGCAGACUGGCGACUCUGGCGGCUCCUUGCCGACUGGCGGCUCUGGCGGCUCCUUGCAGACUGGUGGCUCUUGCGGCUCCUUGCAGACUGGCAGCUCUUGCGGCUCCUUGCAGACUGGCGGCUCUGGCGGCUCCUUGCAGACUGGCGGCUCCUGGCAGACUGGCGCCUCUGGCGGCUCCUUGCAGACUGCCGGCUCUGGCGGCUCCUUGCAGACUGGUGGCUCUGGCGGCUCCUUGCCGACUGGCGGCUCUGGCGGCUCCUUGCAGACAGGCGGCUCUUGCGGGUCCUUGCAGACUGGCGGCUCUUGCGGCUCCUUGCAGACUGGCGGCUCUGGCGGCUCCUUGCAGACUGGCGGCUCCUGGCAGCUCCUUGUAGACUGGCGGCUCUGGCGGCUCCUUGCCGACUGGCGGCUCUGGCGGCUCCUUGCCGACUGGCGGCUCUGGCGGCUCCUUGCAGACUGGCGGCUCCUGGCAGCUCCUUGCAGACUGGCGGUUCUGGCGGCUCCUUGCAGACUGGCGGCUCUGGCGGCUCCUUGCAGACUGGCGGCUCCUGGCGGCUCCUUGCAGACUGCCGGCUCUGGCGGCUCCUUGCAGACUGGCGGCUCUGGUGGCUCCUUGCAGACUGGCGGCUCCUUGCAGACUGGCGGCUCCUUGCAGACUGGCGGCUCCUUGCAGACUGGCGGCUCAGGACAGGCGGGCAGCUCUGGACAGGCGGGUGACUCUGGCGGCUCUGGACAGGCGGGAGACUCUAGCGGCUCUGGACAGGCGAGGCGCACUGUAGGCCUGGUAUGUGGUGCCGGCACUGGUGGUACUGGGCCGAGGACACGCACCUCAGAGCGAGUGCGGGGAGGAGAAACAGGGAGUACUGGGCUCUGGACACGCACAGGAAGCCUGGUGCGGGGGGCUGCCACCAGAGGGCUGGUGCGUGUAGGUGGCACUGGAUAG
rnacentral:lncRNA from 1 species